rnacentral:rRNA from 1 species
UACAGAGGGGGGCAAGCGUUGUUCGGAAUUACUGGGCGUAAAGGGCGCGUAGGCGGCCUGUUAAGUCGAACGUGAAAUCCCCGGGCUCAACCCGGGAACUGCGUCCGAUACUGGCAGGCUUGAAUCCGGGAGAGGGAUGUGGAAUUCCAGGUGUAGCGGUGAAAUGCGUAGAUAUCUGGAGGAACACCGGUGGCGAAGGCGGCAUCCUGGACCGGUAUUGACGCUGAGGCGCGAAAGCCAGGGGAGCAAACGGG